UUUCCCAGAGUCCUCAUUGUGCAUGCUGUGUGUGUUUCUGAUUAGUCCACACAGUGCCUGCAAUGUGGACGCUGAGAUA
rnacentral:pre_miRNA from 1 species